GACACCGAGAUAUUUUCACGAGCCACUUGCAAGAGUUGCCACAUCAAUCCAGAUAUGAAAUUGAUGACCUUUUCUCUUGACCAUUCUCUGUUGAAUAAACAGAUGCGGUUAUCUGCAUCGUUGUAUUAAGUAUCCAUCCGCUUUCAUUUCUGCCGAGGUCGAACGGCGCAUACCUGCAUCUAAAAUCUGCAGAGUUAUCCAUUCGUUCAAACUAGUGAGAAUACGAAGCUUCGAACCAAUAACUCCGAAUAUCAACAACAGCACAUACUCAGCAAAAAGCCGAUCAAGGCAGCAGUUAUCAAGACAAGCCUGGUACCUUUACUAUUUAAAGUGUCAAUUGGUAAACAAACCCCUCGUCGGAGUUAUGUUGUUUCUCGAAAAUAUUAUUCCUGUCCAUCAGAGAGUGCACCCCAGCUUGCCAUGUUGGUGUCUCUGGUGGGUGAGUAUCUUUCGCCAAAUAUACGGAAUAGGUCCCUUUCUUUUUGAUGGGGAUUUUAUCAUUUGAGCUAAUUAUCAUAAGCGGACAAAAUAUAUGACCCUUGCUUCCACGCGACAUCCCAG
rnacentral:sRNA from 1 species